GGACUCUUAGCUCAGUUGGUAGAGCAGUUGACUCUUAAUCAAUUGGUCCAGGGUUCGAGUCCCUGAGAGUCCAUCA
rnacentral:tRNA from 9 species